rnacentral:ncRNA from 1 species
AAAGACUUAGUCCUAACCUUACCGUUAAUUCUCGCUAAACAUAUACAUGCAAGUAUCCGCGCCCCAGUGUAAAUGCCCUUAAUCUCUUAUUAAGACAAAAGGAGCGGGCAUCAGGCACACCUAUAACAGUAGCCCAAGACGCCUUGCCUAGCCACACCCCCACGGGCACUCAGCAGUAAUUGAUCUUAAGCAAUAAGUGAAAACUUGACUUAGUUAUAGCAGCAUCCAGGGUUGGUAAAUCUUGUGCCAGCCACCGCGGUCAUACAAGAGACCCAAAUUAACUGUAACCCGGCGUAAAGCGUGGUACCAUGAUAUCAUAACAACUAGGAUCAAAGUGCAACUGAGCCGUCAUAAGCCCAAGGUGCAUCGAAAUCCGCCCUCAAAACGAUCCUAGCACUCACGACCAAUUAAACCCCACGAAAGCUAAGACACAAACUGGGAUUAGAUACCCCACUAUGCUUAGCCCUAAAUCUCGAUACUUCCCUCCACUAGAGUAUCCGCCUGAGAACUACGAGCACAAACGCUUAAAACUCUAAGGACUUGGCGGUGCCCCAAACCCACCUAGAGGAGCCUGUUCUAUAAUCGAUAACCCACGAUACACCCAACCGCCCCUUGCCAAGGCAGCCUACAUACCGCCGUCGCCAGCUCACCUCUUCUGAGAGCACAACAGUGAGCACAAUAGUUUCCCCCACUAGUAAGACAGGUCAAGGUAUAGCCCAUGAGGCGGAAGAAAUGGGCUACAUUUUCUAAGAUAGAAAACUCCACGAAAAGAGGUGUGAAAGCCACCCCUGGAAGGCGGAUUUAGCAGUAAAGCAGAAUAAUAAAGUCUGCUUUAAGCUGGCCCUGGGGCACGUACAUACCGCCCGUCACCCUCCUCACAAGCUACAAGUCACCAAUAACUAAUACAUCUAUCAGCCAAAGACGAGGUAAGUCGUAACAAGGUAAGUGUACCGGAAGGUGCACUUAGCAUAC